AACGCGAAGACCUUACCUGGCGUGACAUGUCCGGAACCUUGCAGAGAUGCGAGGGUGCCCUCGGGAAUCGGAACACAGGUGCUGCAUGGCUGUCGUCAGCUCGUGUCGUGAGAUGUUGGGUUAAGUCCCGUAACGAGCGCAACCCUUGUCCUUAGUUACCAGCACGUUAUGGUGGCACUCUAAGGAGACUGCCGGUGACAAACCGGAGGAAGGUGGGAUGACGUCAAGUCAUCAUGCCCUUACGGCCAGGGCUACACACGUGCUACAAUGUCGGUACAGAGGGUGGCCAAGCCGCGAGGUGAGCUAAUCCCAUAAAACCGAUCGUAGUCCGGAUCGCAGUCUGCAACUCGACUGCGUGAAGUCGGAAUCGCUAGUAAUCGGAAUCAGAAGUCACGGU
rnacentral:rRNA from 1 species